rnacentral:rRNA from 1 species
AGAACGAACGCUGGCGGCAUGCCUAAUACAUGCAAGUCGAACGAACUCUUCGGAGUUAGUGGCGCACGGGUGCGUAACGCGUGGGAAUCUGCCCCUUGGUUCGGAAUAACAGUUGGAAACGACUGCUAAUACCGGAUGAUGACGAAAGUCCAAAGAUUUAUCGCCAAGGGAUGAGCCCGCGUAGGAUUAGCUAGUUGGUGAGGUAAAGGCUCACCAAGGCAACGAUCCUUAGCUGGUCUGAGAGGAUGAUCAGCCACACUGGGACUGAGACACGGCCCAGGCUCCUACGGGAGGCAGCAGUAGGGAAUAUUGGACAAUGGGCGAAAGCCUGAUCCAGCAAUGCCGCGUGAGUGAUGAAGGCCUUAGGUUGUAAAGCUCUUUUACCCGAGAUGAUAAUGACAGUAUCGGAGAAUAAGCCCGGCUAACUCCGACGCCAGCAGCCGC